rnacentral:lncRNA from 1 species
AGUGUUAACUUGAAGAGAAGAAAUGGAGAAACUAAAGGUGUUGAGUUGAGUUGUGGCUUGUGCAAAAGAUAGGGCAAGGUGUCCAGAAGUGUCCUGAUGGAUGUGCAAAGUUAGGGACAAGUCUAGGAUAGACUUAGAAGUGUAUUUGGGAGCAAAUGGGCGAGUGUGCAAAGAUAGGGUGAGGCAGUACGGACGUGUACGGACAGUACGGAUCCGUACGGACCAGGGCGACCCAGAUUUGCAUAACUCCGCCAUUUCAGAAGUUUUGGAGUUGGUGCAAAAAUAGGGUGAGGCUGACGUCCCGGGAAAGCUUGUGCAAUGUCUGGGCAAGGUUUGAGAGUUAUAAAAGUGGUCCUAGUCUUGUGGAUAAGGUUCUGAUCAGAUGGCAUCAAAGGAGAAUCAAGAAGAUGCCAUUGCAGUGUGAUUGGCUACUUUAGUCUUGGGACAGGCUGGCCUUGGCUGUAAAGACAAGGAGAGCCACGACCAUGAACCUGGACUGAUCUGUGGACAGAUUAGGAGGAGCCUAAGGAGAGCCAAUCAUCAUCCAGCCUUCCCCAUUUUGAAUUAAACCAAUCAGGCUUCAUCUCCUCUUAACCAAUCAGCUUUAACUACUCAGAUUGCAACAAGACCAGCUCAUCUACACCAUCCAUUCCUCUUAAGUUAUUUACAGCCAUUAGAUAUAGGUUUAUGAUGUCUCAGAUUGUAAAAGCCUAUAUAAACAGAUGUAUGAGGCAAUUUGUAACUCUUAAGAGAGUUAGGAGGAUUUCCCCUUCUCCUUCAUAAUAUAAAGUGUUCUUGGAUCAGAAUCCCUUAAUCUCUCUAAUACGUCCCUAGAUUGCUUCUCUGGAUAGUAUGGGAUAGAUCCUUGCUAGAACGAAUCAAAGACUCAAGCUUUACAAGGUUGUGGAUCGAUUGGUGACACAAGAGGCUGCGGAAAGGCUCCUUGAUACUCCUAAGUGACUAGAUCGGAUAUGACACACCGAGAUAGACACUCUUGGGUUGUUGGAUAUUACACACCAACAAGAACACUCAACAACUCGUGAACAAGCCGUAGAGAGAACAAAAGGAAGGUUUUUUAUAAAAGAUAAUUGAUGCUUGAUAAGGGUUUUCAAAGUACACUUAUAUAAGAGAAGUUGGAACAGACUCCAAGCUUCUCGAAAACUAUCAAGAGAGUAAAGGCACACGGCUCUCUUGGAAAUAGAAACAAAUGACAAGUUUGAAAAAACAAAAGCAUGAAAUGUAUAACAUAAGGUUGAUCCGGGGUAAGGUUGGAUCGAGAUCAUCAACUAAGAGAUUUGAGAAGCAAAUCUAUGGCCUCGUUAAAAACCUAUCUUUGGAAAACCCAUUGGGACAAAACCAAAGAUAGGGAAAAAGAGCACACAUAGAUUGCUUGCUUAGUUGAUGAUCAGCUUGAUGGUGAAGUAGCUUGAAUAGUGAUAAGUGUGUCUUGGUUGAUCAAGCUUCUACCAAGACAUUCCUCUUGCUUCCAUGACAUCUUAACCAAUCCUCCAAUAACUUGCGUGAGCUUCCUUGAUCUUGAUCGAGUCAUAGGUCCUUUAGGCAAGGCUAGGACAUCUUCAUCAGUUGGCUUGUCUAGAUCCUCAUUAUCUCCAUCAACUAGUUGGUCCAUGAUCACAUCACUCUCCCUUUCUUAGUCUCUAAUCUUCUAAUCUCUCAAAGUCUUUUGUUUCUGAUCUGAGUAAACACUUAAUCACUCACAAACACUUCCACAAAUCUAUCUCUCUCUAAAUCGCCUACAAACUCUCUCUCUGCCCUUUUGGGAUUCACACAAACACACAGCCUGAUAUCUAAGAAAAUCUCAUAUGGUAUCAGAGCCAGGUUCAUCUGAAUCUGGUUCUUAGCUUCCGCAAAGCUCACAAUCUCCUCUCAUGUCGUUUUGAAACCAAGAAGAAGCUUAGAUGAUCCAGCCGGCUGUUCAACAUCUCAAGUGGAAGAUGGGUUCAUCCCUGGUGUCCAGAAGCUGUAUGUGGUCGUUUCUCACCCUCUCAUGACGCCCAUGAAGAAAGAAGGCUCUUGGAAACAAGGCAGGAAGUGGUCUGAUCAACCAAGCUUCAAAGCUUUAUCCAAGCUGUUUCUUAUUAACUGUCCAAGAAGAAAGGUGAUAGCUUUCAUCUGGUACUGGUGUGGCGAGUGUAACAUGAAGAAAGGUGGGGUCUUUGACAUGGAGAGUUCAAGAGAAAGGUCCUUGGAAGAAGGAGAAGUUGGGGUCAACACCAACAGCUCACUGUCUUGCCAUGUUCUAUGGAGUUUCAAGGAACUAACACUAGUUCCGUGGCUGUAAGAAACCUAUUUCUCUUGUUUAAAGCUUGUGUAUGUGAACUGAAUAAUGUAUUAAACAGGUUGUGAUGUUGUGAUGUGAUUGAUAACCUGAGGAUGUGUUUAAAGAUUACUAGAUAUGAAAUGUUUAGAAUCUGUCCCAGGAUGCUUAAAAAGAGUUGUUUGGUGACUGAGAAUUGUUGCUUGAAUCUGGUUCAUAAUGAAUGUAUGUUAGGGAGUUAGUAGUAUUGUCUAAACCUGAUUGCUUUCAUGAAUUGAAACCGAGCUUAAAGUGGAGUGUAGAGUGUUGUUGCUGCCUUAGGUUGAUGCACUUUGAUUCAAGUCUAAGAUGCAGUUAAGGCAGAAGUUAAAAAUGCCUAAGUAGCUUGCAUAAAUCUGGAAAAGAAAGUGCUUGUGCUUAGAGAGUUUGCUUGCAAAGAUUAGAACUUGAAAAUGACUUGUUUAAUCUGUUGCAAUGCUUGUGAUAUUGGGAAUCAAACUUGAUGAUUAAUCAAGGAUUGAUCCCAAUACUAUUGUGUCUUAUCUUUGCUGGAGUUUGAGUGAUGUUUCAGGUUCACAAGAUGUGUUCUUGGUUCACCAUCCAUCCGAGUUGAAAGUAGGAGACUUUUGCCCAUUGAGUGUGCAAUGGAGAGUUGAGAAAGAAGUGGUGAUGCGCCACUGGUGUGAAGUCUCACUGAAGCUCACUUGCAAGCUUGGACUUAUUAUAUCCAAUCCAAGCUUGAGGAGGGGAGUUUAGUGAGCUAUCAGCCGGUUCAGAAGGUCCGUUGCAAGCAACUGAAGAAGAAGGAGCCAUCCGGGUCUAGGCAGUGGGGUGUCUAGGCAAGAGAGUGUUCAGAGCACUCUUGGCUGUGAGAAGAUGAAGACUCUAUCAGUGCGGCUUCUAGUGUGAGGUGACUGAAGAGGUAGCUGAAGUUUCCACAAGCACUCCAUGAAGAUGGUGAGUUCAGAAGGUGUUGUAAUGGUGUGACUGGGCGGAUCAAGAAGCUAUCCUUCCAAGCUUGACUUGUUCUACAUGGUCAAGCUUGAGGGGGAGUGUUGAGAAAGCUUCUAUGAUCCUAGAGUCUUUGGUGGUUAUUCAAGAAGAGGAGCAGAUCAGUUAUGAAGCAUAAUGAAGGAUGAAGAAGCAAUCACCAAUGCGGCCUCUAGAGUGAGGUGAUUGGUACUACAGUCUGAAGCAUCCUGUCAUGAUUUCAGUAACAUGGUGGUGACUCAUGAAGAAGAAGCAGCCAAGACUCAGCUUGUAUCUAUCAAGGAAGAUCUGGUAGUCCGAGCACUUGAUACACAACAAGAAGGUUGUGAGAAAGGGGGAGAGACCAAGAUCUGUCUGAAGAAGAGUACAAGAAGUGUUGAUGAUGAGCAAGAGGAGUGGGUUCUAUCUUGCAUCACAUGAGGGCCAUGAUCCAGAGUCUUUGUGUCCCUUACAUUGUUGGUAAGGCACAAAGACUCACUGGCCAAUCCCUAGGCCUUGGAGACUUUACUCUUUUUCCCUCAUCAAGGUUUUGUCCCAAAGGGUUUUCCUUGGUGAGGUUUUUAAUGAGGAAGUUCUUCAAGGUUCCAAGCGUGACUAAGGAUCUCCUAUAGUCAAGCUUGAGGGGAAGUGUUAACUUGAAGAGAAGAAAUGGAGAAACUAAAGGUGUUGAGUUGAGUUGUGGCUUGUGCAAAAGAUAGGGCAAGGUGUCCAGAAGUGUCCUGAUGGAUGUGCAAAGUUAGGGACAAGUCUAGGAUAGACUUAGAAGUGUAUUUGGGAGCAAAUGGGCGAGUGUGCAAAGAUAGGGUGAGGCAGUACGGACGUGUACGGACAGUACGGAUCCGUACGGACCAGGGCGACCCAGAUUUGCAUAACUCGGCCAUUUCAGAAGUUUUGGAGUUGGUGCAAAAAUAGGGUGAGGCUGACGUCCCGGGAAAGCUUGUGCAAUGUCUGGGCAAGGUUUGAGAGUUAUAAAAGUGGUCCUAGUCUUGUGGAUAAGGUUCUGAUCAGAUGGCAUCAAAGGAGAAUCAAGAAGAUGCCAUUGCAGUGUGAUUGGCUACUUUAGUCUUGGGACAGGCUGGCCUUGGCUGUAAAGACAAGAAGAGCCACGACCAUGAACCUGGACUGAUCUGUGGACAGAUUAGGAGGAGCCUAAGGAGAGCCAAUCAUCAUCCAGCCUUCCCCAUUUUGAAUUAAACCAAUCAGGCUUCAUCUCCUCUUAACCAAUCAGCUUUAACUACUCAGAUUGCAACAAGACCAGCUCAUCUACACCAUCCAUUCCUCUUAAGUUAUUUACAGCCAUUAGAUAUAGGUUUAUGAUGUCUCAGAUUGUAAAAGCCUAUAUAAACAGAUGUAUGAGGCAAUUUGUAACUCUUAAGAGAGUUAGGGGGAUUUCCCCUUCUCCUUCAUAAUAGAAAAGUGUUCUUGGAUCAGAAUCCCUU